ACCCCAGGUCACCCUGCAACUAAUAGCAGUUUGGUCUCCUUCCUUUUACCUUGUUGCACUUCUGAGAGCAAGAUGGGUCACCAGCAGCUGUACUGGAGCCACCCGCGAAAAUUCGGCCAGGGUUCUCGCUCUUGUCGCAUGUGUUCAAACCGGCACAGUCUGAUCCGGAAAUAAUGGCCUCAAUAUGUGCCGCCAGUGUUUCCGUCAGUACGCGAAGGAUAUCGGUUUCAUUAAGUUGGACUAAAUGAUCUUCCUUCAAAGGAUUAUCCAAAGCAUCUACUCAAUGAAAAACCAUGAUAGUUCUUUGUACAUAAAAUAAACAUU